rnacentral:rRNA from 1 species
UACGUAGGCAGCGAGCGUUGUUCGGAGUUACUGGGCGUAAAGCGUGCGUAGGCGGUUGUCUAAGUUUGGUGUGAAAUCUCCUGGCUUAACUGGGAGGGUGCGCCGAAAACUGGGUGACUGGAGUGUCGGAGAGGUAAGUGGAAUUCCUGGUGUAGCGGUGAAAUGCGUAGAUAUCAGGAGGAACACCGGUGGUGUAGACGGCUCUCUGGACCGUAACUGACGCUGAGACACGAAAGCGUGGGUAGCAAACAGG